UCUAAAGCGGCCGCCAUUUUGCAAAAACGUAAAUUAGUUACGCGAGAUGAUGAAGUCGGCUAGCUGCGAGCUGUUUUUGCAAUGAGUGAGAGCCUUAAGACUGGUGGGGUUGUGAAAACAUCAUCAAAUAGAUACGACUUACAUGUUCAAAAUAACAGAUCAGUAUAAAAGUAUUAAAAUUUCUAUUUACAUGACAAUUUUAAGAGUGAGUGUUUCUAGAUAUUAACAUCGUAGCAUCAAGACGUUCAUGCAGGGACGUAGGGAAGUCGGCUGAAGUUGGGGGAGGAUUUUACGGUUUUUACCUGAAAUUUGAACUCAAUGUUAAAAAUUUACCUGAAGUGUAAUAAUUAUAAUAGAGCUUUUUAUGAUUGAUUUCCACUGUCAUACUAAGUUUGCGAAGAAAGGGGGGGUCGAGAGGUCCUCCCCCAGAAAAUUUUUAUAUUCAUUUGAAGCCCCAGGACUGUAUUUCUUGCCGUUCUAAAGCAAAUUCGCAAACGAAUUGGAUCUAAAUGG